CGAUAAGAGCUAAAUUCCGGCCUCUCCAAUUAAUUAUGAUUCCCAUGCUCCACGGUUACCAAGACAAAUCCUAGUGGCUAUAGGAAAUCUAAAAUCUUUUCGUCAGCCAAACUGGGAUUAGAUACGCCGCCGCACAUACGCCAACAAGACCACAUCCCUAUAAAUACACUCUCUGUUCCUCAGCUUUCUGCAGUUUAGUCUUCUAGGGUUUUUCUUUAUCUUCUCUUCAGUCAUCGGCAAUGACACAGCCACAGCCAAUCAUGUCUUCGUCUUCUUCAUCAUCUAAGAUGAAAAUCACCCUGAAGUGCUCGGACGGCCAUAUAUUCGAAGUGGAGCAGAAAGUCUUGUUUGAGUGCCGAACCAUCAAGCACAUGAUAGACGAUGGCUGCGCCGACUCCGCCAUCCCAUUGCCCAAUGUGACCGGAAAAAUCAUGGCAAAAGUCAUUGAGUACUGCAAGAAGCAUAUGGAGGCGGCCGCUGAAAUCAGGGAUAUGAAUUUUUUCAGCAAUGACUUUCGUGAUCUCAAGAAUUGGGAUGAUGCGUUUGUGAAGGAAGUUAUGGAGAACCAAGAUAUUCUCUUUGACUUGAUAAUGGCUGCAAACUAUCUGGACAUCAAGAACCUGUUGGAUUUGCUGUGUAAAGGCAUCGCUGAUAUGAUGAGGGGAAAGACUCCCGAGCAGAUUCGUCAGAUUUUUCACAUCAAGAAUGACUACACGCCUUACGAAGAAGCGGAAGUUCGCAGGGAGAAUCAGUGGGCUUUUGAGUAGUAUAGUGAUUAACCCACCAACCUCUUUAUCUAACUGGAUAUCUCUUAUAGCGAUAGGCUUUAUGUAGGUUAUUUUAGGGUUUAUUCAACAGUUUCUUAUUAAAGUUUUGUGAUGGCUUCCUUUUGGUAAUAGUGUAUGGAUGAUUAGCCAUCUUCUAGGGAUCCUUAAUUUUUGAACCGGAAAUCAUUAUUAAAUAAUGCUCAAAAAGUAAACCCUUUUGACAGUGAAAAGGAG
rnacentral:misc_RNA from 1 species